GAUGAACGCUAGCUACAGGCUUAACACAUGCAAGUCGAGGGGCCGCAUGUUGGUUGCUUGCAACCAAUGAUGGCGACCGGCCCACGGGUGCGUAACGCGUAUAGACCCUGCCCUAUACCCAGGGAUAGCCCUGCGAAAGUAAGAUUAAUAACUGAUGUUGUUAUUGAUUCGCAUGUUUGAAUUAAGAAAGAUUUAUAGGUAUAGGAUGGCGAUGCGUGGCAUUAGGAAGUAGGCGGGGUAAGGGCCCACCUAGCCGACGAUGCCUAGGGAUUCUGAGAAGAAGGUCCCACACACUAGAACUGAGACACGGUCCAGACUCCUACGGGAGGCAGCAGUGAGGAAUAUUGGUCAAUGGACGAGAGUCUGAACCAGCCAAGUAGCGUGCAGGACGACGGCCCUCUGGGUUGUAAACUGCUUUUAGUUGGGAAUAAAAAGAGGUACGUGUCCCUUAUUGUAUGUACCAUCAGAAAAAGGACCGACUAAUUCCGUGCCAGCAGCCGCGGUAAAAC
rnacentral:rRNA from 1 species